rnacentral:rRNA from 1 species
UGCAAGUCGAGCGGAAGGCCCUUCGGGGUACUCGAGCGGCGAACGGGUGAGUAACACGUGAGUAACCUGCCCCAGGCUUUGGGAUAACCCCGGGAAACCGGGGCUAAUACCGGAUAUGACCAUCUGUCGCAUGGUGGGUGGUGGAAAGAUUUUUUGGCUUGGGAUGGGCUCGCGGCCUAUCAGCUUGUUGGUGGGGUGAUGGCCUACCAAGGCGGCGACGGGUAGCCGGCCUGAGAGGGCGACCGGCCACACUGGGACUGAGACACGGCCCAGACUCCUACGGGAGGCAGCAGUGGGGAAUCUUGCACAAUGGGCGGAAGCCUGAUGCAGCGACGCCGCGUGAGGGAUGACGGCCUUCGGGUUGUAAACCUCUUUCAGCAGGGACGAAGCGUUUGUGACGGUACCUGCAGAAGAAGCGCCGGCCAACUACGUGCCAGCAGCCGCGGUAAGACGUAGGGCGCAAGCGUUGUCCGGAUUUAUUGGGCGUAAAGAGCUCGUAGGCGGCUUGUCGCGUCGACUGUGAAAACCCGUGGCUCAACUGCGGGCUUGCAGUCGAUACGGGCAGGCUAGAGUUCGGUAGGGGAGACUGGAAUUCCUGGUGUAGCGGUGAAAUGCGCAGAUAUCAGGAGGAACACCGGUGGCGAAGGCGGGUCUCUGGGCCGAUACUGACGCUGAGGAGCGAAAGCGUGGGGAGCGAACAGGAUUAGAUACCCUGGUAGUCCACGCUGUAAACGUUGGGCGCUAGGUGUGGGGGGCCUCUCCGGUUCUCUGUGCCGCAGCUAACGCAUU